AUUUGUUGUCCCUGGAGACAGAAGGGAACAGAAUCACAACUUACUGCUCCCCUCAGGUAAGAGGGAUGCAUGGAAAUAACACAGGUGAAAACGAACUAGACCAGAAGUUGCAUGCAAUCAAGUCUAGUCAACUUCGUGACUCCAUUUGCAAGUGUGGGGCUGGAGAAGUGGCAGCCAUUAAGUGUAAGCAGACCAUCCAUUAAAACCGUGAUUCUGUGUGGAGCUUCACAGAGAGCCAAUGGAUGGCCAAUAUGGGACAAAAGAGGCUUGCAAGUCUAUGAUAAAUUGAAAAGCUGGGUCAUAUAUAUAUAUAUCUCAAUUAAACUUUAGCAGAGGGACAGUGUCAGCCUGAAAUAAAAGCAGACUAAUAAAUCACGGU